AGACCCUCAACUGAUGAGACCAAACCAGAUGCAGACCCAGAUGUCAACAAACAAUCGAGUACACAAAGAAACUCAACUCUGGACCAAAUGACAGAUCCAAAUACGUAUCACCUUACAGGGAUACACACAUGAUCCGGCAACCUGCACAAACACACACUCUUCAUCAUGAUGACCCUGGGCUCACAACACGUGAAUGCUCGGUGGUGGAUGUCAGUGUGGACAAUGGCUCCAAAUACAGGUCGGCAGGUGUUCCUGCGAGAGACCUCUGGCUCUGUUUGCCUGAUGAGGUGUGGCUGUCCAUCCUAUCUCUGCUGCCUCAUAGGGAUUUGUGCAGAGUGGUGCAGGUCUGCCGCCGCCUGCACGCACUGGC